GAGCGUCGAAGCUCUCCGUUCACCACCGGACCUACAACGCACACGCAGGCACAAUCCCAAGCACAUCUACCCCCAUCAGCAUCGUUCUUAGUAUUCUGGACAAGAAACCGCCCCCCCCACCCACACACACACACCUCCCCUGUCUUCUGCAUCCUCUGAGCCCUCGCGUUUGCAGCUCUCAAAUUCUCUUGAGGCCUCCCUCCUCUCCGUCUCCGCCCUUUGCCGACCUCGAACCACGGCCACCGCGAACCCGCUCCCUGUGUUGCCCUUCGCGGCGAACUGCGUUGUUGCUUAUUUGGGGAGGCGCAGGGUAGCGGUUCGCUUUUUCGUGCGUUCUUGUUCGCUUGAAGAAACGCACGUGCAGGUCAAGGCACGCGCCCGCUGAUACGUACAUGCCUGCCUUUGAGAGGGCAUUCAAGUAUUCCGUCGUUUCCCAAGAAGACCAAUCAGCCGUUGGUACGGCCGUCGGCGCAGAUGAGGACCCCAGGACAGCCGGUGCCUCGCAAGUCGUGCGGCGGUAAGCGGAAGAGCGCGUCAUCCGUGCGGCACAGCAACGCCAACGGCGUCGACGACGCUCCAGCCAACAUGUGCACCCUCUCGCACCGCAGCGCGCUAACCAUCUGCGAUUCCGUCAGCGUCUCGAGACGCUUCGGGGGCCAGUCGCGCUGCUCGGCGGUGGCCGUAGAUGGCACGGCAUGGACAGGAGAGACGGACGGCACCAUCGCGAUUCGCCUUGUACCCAGCGGGAUGGAGGUGCGCCGCAUUGCGCCCAUCGGCCGCGCCGCGGUGCUCGUCAUGCAGAACGUCAGCGGCAACAUGUGGGCCGGCUACUCCGAUGGCGCCAUCCGCGUCUUCGACCACGUGACCCAGAAAGUACUGCGUCAGUCAACGCAGCACACGGCUGCUGUGUACGCGAUGUGCGCCGCGGACGGCUAUGUGUUCACUGGUGGCGCGGACGGGAAGGUGUACCAGUGGAUGGCGGAAGAUCUGCACUACAGCCACAUGUACUACGGCCACCGCAACGCGGUGCGCAGCUUGACGACGUACACGGAUCAGAAAAGCCGCUGCCGCUACGUUGUGUCUGGCAGCGACGAUGGAACAGUCAAGGUGUGGGAGGCGACGGUGGCGAAAACGAGCGGCACCCCAAGGAAGGAUGGCGGCUGCGUCUCCACGCUAGAUGGGCAGGGCCGCUGUGUGUUGAGCAUUCUGGUGUUGGAGGACACGGCGGAGCUGUGGGCCGGUUGCGAGGACUCAGCGAUCCGCGUGUGGGACCUUUCCUCAAUGACCGUCACCACCGUUAUCACCGGGCAUCGAGCGCCGGUCGUGACUCUGCUUAAGGUGGGGGAUACCGUGUGGUCUGGUAGCAAGGACGGCGCCAUCACCAUCACGAAUCGCUUCUCCAAGGAUAUUGUCCACCAGGCCUCGCAGCCGCCUGCGAGACGCAGUGCCGCCGCCGGGGGAAAGAGAUCGGGCGUGUCGAUCCUGCCCGUCACUCGCACCGUUGUGUACGAGGUGUGGGUCACGGCGGUGGAUGGGUCGUGGCAGUGCUGGAACUUUACGGUGCCUGAAGGCGUGAAGUCGUGCAUAGAAGAAGCGGACGUCUUGAAAGGUGGGCGCUGCCCCUCGCACAGCCGGUCGCAGCGCCUGUCGCGCGUGAACCAGUGCCGCAGCCGCAACGUACGCAGCGGCUCUGUCAGCGCGUACAGUGAAAACGGCUCGGACUCCGCGAGUGCGCGGGCGCACAGCAGCGUCGAGAAGCUGCGUGCGAGCGUCGCGCAGACACGGCGCACGGUGGCAGUUCUGCUGGCAGGUUCAAAGGUGCACCACGGCCUUGGCGCGCACAACGGCAACGGCUUCGCGCACCGAAGCGAGGCUGUUAGCGUGGGCAUCGUGGACGACGACGAUACUCCUCUCGAUAUCGUGGCUGAGUCUAUCCGAAACGAUCACACGGCCGAGACGCAGAGAGAAGUUCAGCUCAAGCAGGCAGCGCUUGCAAAGGAAAGGAGGAAGAGCGCCGAGCUGCGCGCGGCGCUGGAGAUGAUGUGCAAGGACCCGGUGGCCAUCGCCGAGGAGGGUGCAGAGAAGGUUUUCAGACGGACGGAUUCGCUCGUCAUCGCCGACGCGCAAGCCGAGACGAUCGCGAUGGAGCGCCAGAGCGGCAUGCUGGGCAGUCCGACGACGGAGAAGUUGGUCUGGGUGUCCUCGCAACUAGAGCUAGUGAAAGCGCAGAACGAGGCCAUGGCGGCGGCUAUGACCGAGUUCAAGAAGGCGCCUGUCUAGGUGACGGCGAGAAGGGCGUGAAAAGGGAUUUGCGCCCCCUCACCCCGCGCGUUGGUGUGCAAAUUGUGUGCGCGAGUUCCGUCGCCCAGCCAGAAGCUAACGGCGCCACCUUGCCACCCCACCCUUGCACCACCCCACUAAACACACGCACACGUGGGCAUGUGUAUGGUUCAUUGUCACAAAGAUGGCUAAGACAGUGGCGAGAAGGAAAAAAAAAGGAGAGGGAAGGGGCGGUACAUUACUGCUGUUCUUCGGUGGUUCCGCACACGCACACUCCACCACUCCCUCCACCCCUUCUCGUGCCGCUCCUCGCAUAGCAUUUUUUGCUUUUUCUUAUUCUUUUUUGUUGUCUUCUUGCGUUUCCUGCCUUAUCGCUUACGUCUCCUCCUCCUUAGCUCGCCAUGUUUCUCUCCGUCAUCGACUGCUCGGCGCGCACGCGCGCGCCUUUGUGCGCAUCUGUGUGAGUUUCGUUUAACGAGUGUGCUGCCUCGCGUGCACGCGGCGCCAAAGGCAUGAGGAAGAGGCCCGGGAGAAGAUGGGUCCUCGUCGGUCGUUUGAAUCAUUGCCUGCUCGCACGCUCGUUCUUGUUGUCUUCUCGUCUUGACACCUGCUCUGCUGCGUGUGUGUUGGGGGAGGGGAAGGGGGGUAUUCAUCUGUCCUCUUCUCGCUGCUCCCCAUCGCUUGCACAGGUGGAGGUAUCGAGGGGAUACCCAUCCAGUGCCGAUGUGCGUCGGCAUCGCUUCUCCUCGAGGCAGCAACGACACCAACCAUACAAGGAGGAGGAGGGAAGUCACGUGGUGGCGCAUAUUGCCCCCAUCAUUGAUGUCGUGGGCUUUACUCUCUUCCCUCAUUUCUUUCGUGCGCACACAUACGUACACGCGCACAGAUCGAGGUAGAUAGAUGCGUCCUCACGACGCGCCCCCUCCCCGUAAGCGAGUACAUGAGGGAGGGCCGUUAUGACACGCUCCUCUCUGCUGCAUCUCUCUUUCUAUCUGUGUGUAUGAGCGUGCGUGUCUCCGGGUGCGUCUAAACCCCUUGCGCGCGCGCAAGCUCUGACUCUCCCUCCCCUCCUCCACUUCCUUUUCCCAUUUUUCGUCUGAUACCGUUGCAUUCGCCUUUUAUUUGAAUAACAGCCACACUCUUGUCUGUGGCUCUUCUCCAUAUCCCUCGCGUUCUCGUGUAUGUGUGUGUGUGUGUGUGUGUGGAUAUCUAAUAGUCGUGUUUCUCUCCUGUCUGUCGGUGCGUGCUUGUCGCUGCUGCCGCCGCUGCCGCUGGGUGUGUGAUAAUUUUUUUUUUCGAACCGCUUGCGUGCUUAGGGGCGCAGGCGGGCGGCUGUGCAGCCCGCGGCGGAAGGUUAAGAAAGCACCACCGGCAAGUACAGAGAGAGGAGAUAACAAUGAACAACACACUCUUCUUAUGUCACCACCACCAUCACACCCUCCCUUCCAGUGACGCACACGCACAGAUACCGUCUUCCACCCUCUCCUUACCUCCCCAUUCCAUCCCCCCCCUGCUCUUCGCCUCCUUUGCUUGUUGUUUCGCUACAUUGUUUCCUUCUCUCUGUCUGCGUGUCGGAGUCUUACGGCGCAGCUCUUCCGCAGCGUCUCCCUCCCACCCUCCCUCCUCUCUUUCUUUUUCGCGUGUCAGCGUGCGUGUCUGUCUGUGUGGGUGCGUGCACGUAUGCAUUUUUCUGUUUUAGGUUCUAUACGGGUAACUCAUCUCCCCUCCCCUCCCCGUCCGCCUCAAACGACAGGAGAAGUGCUUACGCGCGCCCACGCGAGAGAGCCAUCUCGGAUGGCUGAGUUGUGGCUUUUGUAUGCGUCCUUCUUGUGUGUGCAUGUGUGUGUGUGGAUAUUUGAUAUAUUUGGCUUAUGUAGAUGGGCUCUGUUUGUGCCUGUCUGUUUCUUCUCCCUCUUCUUCUGCAGUGCUCGAGUUCGCGCGACCCUCUUCCUCUUUCUCGUUGUCUUUCUCGUCCUCUACGGUGGUGCCGCCCUGACCAUCAUGUGCUCCUUCUGUCCAUUGGCUGCGUAUCGGCCAUGUGCGUCCAAGGACGUGCAGCGUGCCAUCAUUUUCUUCGCCAUUACCUUCCAUCUCUCAAUCUCGAUUUCUUCGCUUACCUUUACUGUUCGCGCUGCCCUUUCUCGUAUCGCGCUCUCUCACGUCGCGCCUAUCAGGUGCGCUGCACUGGCGCACAGCGCGCCGCCUUCCAUACGCCCCCACCCGUUUCUUUUGCUCCCCAGCGGGCUUGAACCGCUCGAAAAAAAAAAAGAAGGAACACAGCGCGAGAAAGAUGGCAGGCAGCGAUGGUAGUGGUGGUGAUCGGUUGGUCGGAUGGUCGGACGCUUCUGUCGUGAACAGCAAGACGACAACAGCGGCAGUUGGCCCCUGGCGAGAGGGGCGGGAGGAACCUCCCUGGAUGUUUGUGCACGUCUGGGUCAUACUGGCACACAAAACAAAAAGGCAUAUACGCAUCACGGCUGUCCCUGUGUGUGUGUGUGAUGCCAAGCGUCACGGCACACAAGUCCUGAACUCCC
rnacentral:misc_RNA from 1 species